rnacentral:rRNA from 1 species
GACGAACGCUGGCGGCGUGCUUAACACAUGCAAGUCGAACGGUGAAGGGGUCUGCUUUUGUGGGCCCUGGAUGAGUGGCGAACGGGUGAGUAACACGUGAGUAACCUGCCCCCUUCUUCUGGAUAACCGCAUGAAAGUGUGGCUAAUACGGGAUAUUCUGGGUCUGUCGCAUGAUGGGUCUGGGAAAGAUUGCGCCUUUGGGUGUUUUUGGUGGGGGAUGGGCUCGCGGCCUAUCAGCUUGUUGGUGGGGUGAUGGCCUACCAAGGCGGUGACGGGUAGCCGGCCUGAGAGGGUGGACGGUCACACUGGGACUGAGACACGGCCCAGACUCCUACGGGAGGCAGCAGUGGGGAAUAUUGCACAAUGGGCGCAAGCCUGAUGCAGCGACGCCGCGUGAGGGAUGGAGGCCUUCGGGGUGUAAACCUCUUUCGCCAGUGAAGCAGGCCUGCUCCUUGUGGGUGGGUUGACGGUAGCUGGAUAAGAAGCGCCGGCUAACUACGUG